rnacentral:rRNA from 1 species
AUAGGUUAAUGAGGCGAACCGGGGGAACUGAAACAUCUAAGUACCCCGAGGAAAAGAAAUCAACCGAGAUUCCCCCAGUAGCGGCGAGCGAACGGGGAGGAGCCCAGAGCCUGAAUCAGUGUGUGUGUUAGUGGAAGCGUCUGGAAAGGCGCGCGAUACAGGGUGACAGCCCCGUACACAAAAAUGCACAUAUUGUGAGCUCGAUGAGUAGGGCGGGACACGUGGUAUCCUGUCUGAAUAUGGGGGGACCAUCCUCCAAGGCUAAAUACUCCUGACUGACCGAUAGUGAACCAGUACCGUGAGGGAAAGGCGAAAAGAACCCCGGCGAGGGGAGUGAAAAAGAACCUGAAACCGUGUACGUACAAGCAGUGGGAGCCUCUUAAUGGGGUGACUGCGUACCUUUUGUAUAAUGGGUCAGCGACUUAUAUUCUGUAGCAAGGUUAACCGAAUAGGGGAGCCGAAGGGAAACCGAGUCUUAACUGGGCGUUAAGUUGCAGGGUAUAGACCCGAAACCCGGUGAUCUAGCCAUGGGCAGGUUGAAGGUUGGGUAACACUAACUGGAGGACCGAACCGACUAAUGUUGAAAAAUUAGCGGAUGACUUGUGGCUGGGGGUGAAAGGCCAAUCAAACCGGGAGAUAGCUGGUUCUCCCCGAAAGCUAUUUAGGUAGCGCCUCGUGAAUUCAUCUCCGGGGGUAGAGCACUGUUUCGGCAAGGGGGUCAUCCCGACUUACCAACCCGAUGCAAACUGCGAAUACCGGAGAAUGUUAUCACGGGAGACACACGGCGGGUGCUAACGUCCGUCGUGAAGAGGGAAACAACCCAGACCGCCAGCUAAGGUCCCAAAGUCAUGGUUAAGUGGGAAACGAUGUGGGAAGGCCCAGACAGCCAGGAUGUUGGCUUAGAAGCAGCCAUCAUUUAAAGAAAGCGUAAUAGCUCACUGGUCGAGUCGGCCUGCGCGGAAGAUGUAACGGGGCUAAACCAUGCACCGAAGCUGCGGCAGCGACGCUUAUGCGUUGUUGGGUAGGGGAGCGUUCUGUAAGCCUGUGAAGGUGUGCUGUGAGGCAUGCUGGAGGUAUCAGAAGUGCGAAUGCUGACAUAAGUAACGAUAAAGCGGGUGAAAAGCCCGCUCGCCGGAAGACCAAGGGUUCCUGUCCAACGUUAAUCGGGGCAGGGUGAGUCGACCCCUAAGGCGAGGCCGAAAGGCGUAGUCGAUGGGAAACAGGUUAAUAUUCCUGUACUUGGUGUUACUGCGAAGGGGGGACGGAGAAGGCUAUGUUGGCCGGGCGACGGUUGUCCCGGUUUAAGCGUGUAGGCUGGUUUUCCAGGCAAAUCCGGAAAACCAAGGCUGAGGCGUGAUGACGAGGCACUACG